rnacentral:tRNA from 1 species
UGCCCCGGUGGUGGAAUUGGUAGACACGCUAGUUUCAGGUACUAGUGCUUUCACGGGCAUGGGGGUUCAAGUCCCCCCCAGGGCAGUCC